rnacentral:pre_miRNA from 1 species
CUAGUACUCCCUCCGUCCGAAAAUACUUGUCAUCAAAAUGUACAAAAAGGGAUGUAUCUAGAACUAAAAUACAUCUAGAUACAUCCCCUUUUAUUCAUUUUGAUGACAAGUAUUUCCGGACGGAGGGAGUAGAAU